GAUGAACGCUGGCGGCGUGCCUAAUACAUGCAAGUCGAGCGAACAGAUAAGGAGCUUGCUCCUUUGACGUUAGCGGCGGACGGGUGAGUAAAACGUGGGUAACCUACCUAUAAGACUGGAAUAACUCCGGGAAACCGGGGCUAAUGCCGGAUAACAUUUAGAACCGCAUGGUUCUAAAGUGAAAGAUGGUUUUGCUAUCCCUUAUAGAUGGACCCGCGCCGUAUUAGCUAGUUGGUAAGGUAACGGCUUACCAAGGCAACGAUACGUAGCCGACCUGAGAGGGUGAUCGGCCACACUGGAACUGAGACACGGUCCAGACUCCUACGGGAGGCAGCAGUAGGGAAUCUUCCGCAAUGGGCGAAAGCCUGACGGAGCAACGCCGCGUGAGUGAUGAAGGUCUUCGGAUCGUAAAACUCUGUUAUUAGGGAAGAACAAAUGUGUAAGUAACUGUGCACGUCUUGACGGUACCUAAUCAGAAAGCCACGGCUAACUACGUG
rnacentral:rRNA from 1 species